CAGUCGAACGAUGAAGUCCUAGCUUGCUAGGAUGGAUUAGUGGCGCACGGCUGAGUAAUAUAUAGUUAAUCUGCCCUACACAGAGGAACAACAGUUGGAAACGGCUGCUAAUACCUCAUACUCCUAUUUAACAUAAGUUAAAUAGGGAAAGUCUUUUCGGUGUAGGAUGAGACUAUAUCGUAUCAGCUAGUUGGUAAGGUAAUGGCUUACCAAGGCUAUGACGCGUAACUGGUCUGAGAGGAUGAUCAGUCACAUUGGAACUGAGACACGGUCCAAACUCCUACGGGAGGCAGCAGUAAGGAAUAUUGCGCAAUGGGGGAAACCCUGACGCAGCAACGCCGCGUGGAGGAUGACACUUUUCGGAGCGUAAACUCCUUUUAUCAGGAAAGAAUAAUGACGGUACCUGAUGAAUAAGCACCGGCUAACUCCGUGCCAGCAGCCGCGGUAAUACGGGGGGUGCAAGCGUUACUCGGAAUCACUGGGCGUAAAGGACGCGUAGGCGGAUUAUCAAGUCUUUUGUGAAAUCUAGUGGCUUAACCACUAAACUGCUUAGGAAACUGAUAGUCUAGAGUAGGGGAGAGGUAGAUGGAAUUCUUGGUGUAGGGGUAAAAUCCGUAGAGAUCAAGAAGAAUACCCAUUGCGAAAGCGAUCUGCUGGAACCUAACUGACGCUGAGGCGUGAAAGCGUGGGUAGCAAACAGGAUUAGAUACCCUGGUAGUCCACGCCCUAAACGAUGUAUACUAGUUGUUGCUUUGCUAGUCAAGGCAGUAAUGCAGCUAACGCAUUAAGUAUACCGC
rnacentral:rRNA from 1 species